GGAUCAUGUGACACUUAAGACUGGAUAAUUCAGGUUCGCCAUCACAUGAAUACAUUACAUUUUCAAAUACAGAAAAAUAGAAUGAUUUCAAAUUGUAAUAAUAUUCACAGUAUUGUUGAUCAAAUAAAUGCAGCCUUGGUUUGUAUAAGAUAUUUCUUUCAAAAAUAUUUUAUAAAUCUUACCGACCCCAAACUUUUGAACAGUAAUAUAUGUGUCCAGUGUUAAUACAGUCUUUGUCAAAAGUACAGUAUACAGUAUGUCUGUCCGUUCAGAGCUUGUGUGUGGUGUUUAUAUGUGCAUGUUUGUGUCUGUGUGCUUUAUAUUUGUAUCAGCCUGCUAUUCACACCAAAUGUGUAUUUUGAACAGGGGAAUCCAGGAGAACCAGGAAUAAGAGGACCUACUGUAUGUAUAUUCAGUUUAAUGUACAUACUCAAAUUAAAAAUCCUUUUCCUAACCUUUGGUUUGAUAUUUCAGGGACCGAUGGGUGGAAAUGGACCCCCAGGGGCUCCUGGAGUGAAGGGUGACCAAGGAGAACCAGGCAUUGGAGUUCAAGGCCCUCCUGGACCUCAGGGCAACAGAGGGUUACCUGGACCUCCAGGCACUCCAGGAGCAAUAGUAAGAUAAAAACCCAAUAUUGUAGUCAUUUCAACAGCUCAUAUGAGUCUGACCUCUGUCUCUCCA
ensembl:lncRNA